rnacentral:rRNA from 1 species
GCAAGUCGAGCGCACUCUUCGGGGUGAGCGGCGGACGGGUUAGUAACGCGUGGGAAUAUACCCUUCACUACGGAAUAGCCUCGGGAAACUGAGAGUAAUACCGUAUACGCCCUUCGGGGGAAAGAUUUAUCGGUGAUGGAUUAGCCCGCGUUAGAUUAGGUAGUUGGUGGGGUAAUGGCUCACCAAGCCGACGAUCCAUAGCUGGUUUGAGAGGAUGAUC